UGUUCUGUUUAGUGGGGAAUCAGCUGAACAAUCUGUAUUUUUGUUCCAGGGAAUUAUGUUGGUUUAAGCAUUAUAGAUAUUGAAAAGAUAAUGCCAAUCCACGAAUGUGUGCUUCCUAUGCUGCAGAAAUGUACACAAACUUAAUGGCCUCAGAGAUGGCUACAAAUAGGAGACAACCGUUGGAGUAUCUAUGUAUUCGUCUCACUCUUGUGGCACCACCAUGGUGGCAUUGGUUAAUGACUUGGCCAGACAUGGCCGGAUUUUUGGGUCAUGAUACAGAUAUCAGUGAGUCUCUAAUCGCUGUGCUUUGCUCCCAGCAGUAUAGUGGAAUUUUUUUGCCUGGUAAUGAAGGAAAGAGCACGAGCAGCAACCUGACUCAAGUUUGGUGAUUUCCCCCUAAAAACAGAGGCCUUGAAGGCCAUCGGGAUGUAGAUGCAGGAUAUUACAACAUCCUGGACAAAUCUCUCUUUGGGUAACAAUUCGUUGCAGCGUAUGAAGUGUACACGCAGAUAUUGCUGCAGGUCAACAAUAAGG